CGAACUGUUGUCCUCUCCGUGAGACAAAGUUUCGUACUUACAGAGAAUGCCCUUCUCUUCGUGAGAGGGAUUCCUAUUAUAUGAGAUUCUAGAUCUCGCAAUCAACAGAGUACUAUAAAUGCCAAAGUUUUUUUUAUCUCCCAGCAAUGAAAUAAGGUAUGAAACAAAAUUUUGUACUUUUAGAAAAUACCUAUCUCUGGAAUGGAUUUCUUUUUUUUAUGAGAUUUUAGAUCUCACUCUCAAGAGAAUAUUAUUUAUAUAUAUUUAGGUGCCAAAUGUUUGUAUCUCCUAGUGAGACAAAAAUUCGUACUUUUAGAGAAUGCCCAUCUCCAUGUGGGAGGGAUUUCUUUUAUACGUUAUAGAUAGCCUUAUUGAAAAAUUAAUUACACGUAUUACAUGUAAAACGAAUAUUGGAUGGAAAUAAAUAGAAGUACAUCCCGAAAUGUGGGGAUUAGAGGAAAGGAGAAAACAAAGGGAUGAGGAAUAUUGUAUAAACACGGACUUUUCUUCUCCCAGUGUUCUUUUCAUAGCGAGACAAAGAUCGAACACAAGGUCAGCAACUAGGAAGAGGAAAAUAACCAAAUCUAGCGAUUUGUGCAGUUUGUUGGGGGAAGGGCAAUCCAAAGAGACUACAGAACAUUCGACUCUUCGAUGAUGAUACAUUCUUCUUCGGGAGACGAAUUCAGUCUUAGCCAAUGAUCUGGCUUCAGCACAGAUCCAACUUUUAUAUCUGAGAAAAUAUUUUAACUCCCUAAUUUACCAAGGAGCCAUGGCAUGUCGCCUAUCCUCUCCUGUGUCAUAAUUGUUAA